rnacentral:rRNA from 1 species
GACGAACGCUGGCGGCGUGCCUAAUACAUGCAAGUAGAACGCACAGUUUAUACCGUAGCUUGCUACACCAUAGACUGUGAGUUGCGAACGGGUGAGUAACGCGUAGGUAACCUGCCUGGUAGCGGGGGAUAACUAUUGGAAACGAUAGCUAAUACCGCAUAAUAUUAAUUAUUGCAUGAUAAUUAAUUGAAAGGUGCAAUUGCACCACUACCAGAUGGACCUGCGUUGUAUUAGCUAGUAGGUGAGGUAACGGCUCACCUAGGCGACGAUACAUAGCCGACCUGAGAGGGGGAUCGGCCACACUGGGACUGAGACACGGCCCAGACUCCUACGGGAGGCAGCAGGAGGGAAUCUUCGGCAAUGGACGAAAGUCUGACCGAGCAACGCCGCGGGAGUGAAGAAGGUUGUCGGAUCGUAAAGCUCUGUUGUAAGAGAAGAACGGGUGUGAGAGUGGAAAGUUCACACUGUGACGGUAUCUUACCAGAAAGGGACGGCUAACUACGUG